rnacentral:rRNA from 1 species
ACAGACGAGUUUGAUCCUGGCUCAGAACGAACGCUGGCGGCAGGCCUAACACAUGCAAGUCGAGCGCCCCAGCGAUGGGAGCGGCGGACGGGUGAGUAACGCGUGGGAACGUGCCUCUUGCUACGGAAUAGCCUCGGGAAACUGGGAGUAAUACCGUAUGUGCCCUACGGGGGAAAGAUUUAUCGGCAAGAGAUCGGCCCGCGUUGGAUUAGGUAGUUGGUGGGGUAAUGGCCUACCAAGCCGACGAUCCAUAGCUGGUUUGAGAGGAUGAUCAGCCACACUGGGACUGAGACACGGCCCAGACUCCUACGGGAGGCAGCAGUGGGAAUCUUAGACAAUGGGCGCAAGCCUGAUCUAGCCAUGCCGCGUGAGCGAUGAAGGCCUUAGGGUUGUAAAGCUCUUCAGUGGGGAAGAUAAUGACUGUACCCACAGAAGAAGCCCCGGCUAACUCCGUG